rnacentral:rRNA from 1 species
AAGUUGGUGUGGUUGUUGCUGGCCCUCUCGGGGGCAUGUGCACACCCACCAUCCUCAUCUCUCCACCUGUGCACCUCUUGUAGACCUGGAUUGACUUUCCGAGGCAACUCGGUCGGGAAGAUUGCUGCGCUCUGUGAGCCAGCUUUCUUUGCAUGUCCAGGCCUAUGUUUUUCAUAUACCCCUAUAGAAUGUAACAGAAUGUAUCAUUGGGCCUUGUGCCUAUAAACCUUAUACAACUUUCAGCAACGGAUCUCUUGGCUCUCGCAUCGAUGAAGAACGCAGCGAAAUGCGAUAAGUAAUGUGAAUUGCAGAAUUCAGUGAAUCAUCGAAUCUUUGAACGCACCUUGCGCUCCUUGGUAUUCCGAGGAGCAUGCCUGUUUGAGUGUCAUUAAAUUCUCAACCUUAUUAACUUUUGUUGAUAAUGGAUUGGAUUGUGGGGGUUUCUUUUGCUGGCUUCUUCACAGAGAUCAGCUCCCCUUAAAUGCAUUAGCUGGUGCCCCGCGUGGACCAUCUAUUGGUGUGAUAAUUAUCUACGCCGUGGAUGUCUGCAAUCAUAUGGGUUUCGCACUGCUUCUAACCGUCUGUUCAUUCGGACAAUACAUGACAAUUUGACCUCAAAUCAGGUAGGACUACCCGCUGAACUUAAGCAUAUCAAUAAGCGGAGGAAAGAAACUAACAAGGAUUCCCCUAGUAACUGCGAGUGAAGCGGGAAAAGCUCAAAUUUAAAAUCUGGCGGUCUCCGGCCGUCCGAGUUGUAAUCUAGAGAAGUGUUAUCCGCGCUGGACCGUGUACA